AUGUGCAAAAUUAGAAAACAGGUUCAGGUGACCACUAGGAAACUCCUCUAAGCUUCUGCAGAAUUGCUGGCUUCUUUUGUGAGAAGUUGCUGUCAUCUGCUUUGUGACACUAGGAGAAAAUACUUUCUGCAUUUGCCUGCAUAAAGCUGUGGAUGGAUUCUUCUGACAUAUAGCAAGCACACUUGCCUGAGAGCUCGCCUUCUUGGAGGGCACGGAGCUGAAGCCUGCCUGGAUGCCUUUGAAGAGGGCAUUUUUUGCAUCUGUUGGAAAGCCAAAGGAGCAAAAAUCCUGAAUCAACGGUCCUGUCUGGAGCAGAAUCUGCAGGGAGGGAUACACAGGACUACUGAAGAGGGAAGAGUUUGCUAUCCACAUUGUUACCUCUGAAAGAUUCCAUCUCGCAGUGCUGGUAUUCCCCGUUGGCUUAUUUAUCCCUUAAGUUGGAUGAAAUAAACUCGUGAAAAAUUCUCCAAAGACUACUUGGAAAAGAUAGUAAUUUCAGUGAAGCUACAACAGGAAACUACCACUGGCCUGAUAAGAUAUCAGAACUCUUAAACUGUUGGGGUGCCUCAUCCCCAGAAGGAGAAAGGCCAUUUUCUGGUGCAGUUUUUGACUUUCAGGCUAGCUGUUUCUCUGUGGAUUGUUAGUUCCAUCCAAACACCAGAAUGUCUUCUCAGCUUGGAGUUGGGAAUUCCUGCUGUCAAGCUCAGCUGAGAAGGUUCGGACUGAGCCUUAAGUUGCUGUUACUAUCAAAGAUCCAAGGACUGUAGUCCCAGAGAUGUGCUCUUAUGCUCUUGAUUGCUGAGGCUGGAUCCUUCCCCUCCCAAGAGGUGGCAACUACAACCUCAGUACUAAGGACAGCAUAAAAAGACUUCAAUCCAAGAACUACUUGUUCUCUGUCCCACAAAACUUUGAACAAAAAUGUUUUGAUGGCUUGCCUUCAUCAUAGCUCUGUGGUCAGUCACUGGCAGAUGUAAGCUAGAGGUGUCUCAAGAUUGUUUGAUUUAUAACUGAUCUGAUAAUUGUCUCUGUGAUAGUUAAGAAGUCAGCACUCAUGACUAAGUAGCCACUUUCAUGCAGUAGUUUGCAUAUGAAGGAUUCUCAACUUUUAUUUCCAGGCUGGGAUUUCUUUAAACCAUGUCAAAAGGUAGCUGAUUGGGUACAAGACCUCUGAAACAAAGAGCUGUAUAUAAAUGUUGGAUACAGGAGCAGGGUUUGAAGACCAUGAGUUCUGUUCGUAGUUUAACAUACAAUAUGUUAUGACCACCGCCUGUCAUCGCUGGGUCUUCAAGGUUUUUGCAUUAGAAGUUGCAUUCAACAAAUGUUUGAUAGCAUGGUGUGUUUUUCUAAGAAAUGUUGUUGUCCUUAGAAUUAAACAAGGAUCAGAUGUAGGGGAGAAAUAUGAUUAUUUCCAAAUGACAUAAAAUCAUCAGCAAUUUCAAAGUACUUUAAAAUAUGUGGGUUUGUCUUUAAUUGUGCUGUUACUGUGCUUGCUCAUGAGUUGUGGGUAAUAACAUGUGAUUAUCAUCUGCCUACUUGAUCACAUGCCCAUUUGUGAUGCUUGCAAGAAAAAAACAUUAUCUGGAGAGUUUAAGAGACUGUUUCCCAGACAACAGAAUAGUCAGAUUGCAUCCAUGAACUGUACACCGUCGUGUAUCUGCACUUAAGUCAAACACCUGGUGGCAGCUGCUGCUCCCACUAAUGACAUGGACAAGAUGGAACUGUUUGUAUAGCCAUAAUCAAACUCCCUGAACGAUGAAGUCAAGGAAAUUGUGCGAUUAAGAAAGAAAGAAGUAAAAAUUCAUGGUUCUAACGAGUCAUACAG